rnacentral:misc_RNA from 1 species
GAUGAAGAACGUAGCGAAAUGCGAUACGUAGUGUGAAUUGCAGAAUUCAGUGAAUCAUCGAAUCUUUGAACGCACAUUGCACCUCUCGGUAUUCCGGGAGGUAUGCCUGUUCGAGCGUCAUUUGUACCCUCAAGCUCUGCCUGGUGUUGGGUGUUUGUUCCGCCUCUGUGUGUGAACUCGCCUCAAAACAAUUGGCAGCCGGCGUACUUGUUUCGGAGCGCAGCACAUUUUGCGAUCCAGAUCAACGUACAGCGGCAUCCAAGAAGCCUUAUUUAACGCUCUUGACCUCGGAUCAGGUAGGGAUACCCGCUGAACUUAAGCAUAUCAAUAAGCGGAGGA